GUGGGGAAUAUUGGACAAUGGGCGAAAGCCUGAUCCAGCAAUGCCGCGUGAGUGAUGAAGGCCUUAGGGUUGUAAAGCUCUUUUACCCGGGAAGAUAAUGACUGUACCGGGAGAAUAAGCCCCGGCUAACUCCGUGCCAGCAGCCGCGGUAAUACGGAGGGGGCUAGCGUUGUUCGGAAUUACUGGGCGUAAAGCGCACGUAGGCGGUUUUGUAAGUUAGAGGUGAAAGCCUGGGGCUCAACCCCAGAAUUGCCUUUAAGACUGCAUCACUUGAACGUCGGAGAGGUGAGUGGAAUUCCGAGUGUAGAGGUGAAAUUCGUAGAUAUUCGGAAGAACACCAGUGGCGAAGGCGGCUCACUGGACGACUGUUGACGCUGAGGUGCGAAAGCGUGGGGAGCAAACAGGAUUAGAAACCCCGGUAGUCC
rnacentral:rRNA from 1 species